rnacentral:rRNA from 1 species
AUUGAACGCUGGCGGCAGGCUUAACACAUGCAAGUCGAGCGGAGAUGAGGUGCUUGCACCUUAUCUUAGCGGCGGACGGGUGAGUAAUGCUUAGGAAUCUGCCUAUUAGUGGGGGACAACAUUCCGAAAGGAAUGCUAAUACCGCAUACGUCCUACGGGAGAAAGCAGGGGAUCUUCGGACCUUGCGCUAAUAGAUGAGCCUAAGUCGGAUUAGCUAGUUGGUGGGGUAAAGGCCUACCAAGGCGACGAUCUGUAGCGGGUCUGAGAGGAUGAUCAGCCACACUGGGACUGAGACACGGCCCAGACUCCGACGGGAGGCAGGAGUGGGGAAUAUUGGACAAUGGGGGGAACCCUGAUCUAGCCAUGCCGCGUGUGUGAAGAAGGCCUUAUGGUUGUAAAGCACUUUAAGCGAGGAGGAGGCUACUGAGACUAAUACUCUUGGAUAGUGGACGUUACUCGCAGAAUAAGCACCGGCUAACUCUGUGCCAGCCGCCGCAGUAA